rnacentral:rRNA from 1 species
GACGAACGCUGGCGGCGUGCCUAAUACAUGCAAGUAGGACGCAGUUGCGAACGGGUGAGUAACGCGUAGGUAACUACCUAUUAGAGGGGGAUAACUAUUGGAAACGAUAGCUAAUACCGCAUACUAGUAGAUGGACCUGCGUUGUAUUAGCUAGUAGGUUGGGUAAUGGCCUACCUAGGCAACGAUACAUAGCCGACCUGAGAGGGUUGUAGGCAAAACUGGGACUGGGACACGGCCCAGACUACUACGGGAGGAAGCAGUAGGGAAUCUUCGGCAAUGGGGGGAACCCGGAACGGGCAAAGCCGGGGGAGUGAAGAAGGUUUUCGGAUCGGAAAGCUCUGUGGUUAAGGAAGCGGUACUUAACCAGAAAGGGACGGCUAACUACGUGCCAGCAGCCGCGGUAAUAC